rnacentral:lncRNA from 1 species
AAGUCGAUGUGAGAGUAAGCCGAUAUUAGCAUCAAUAUUAGCUGCAAGACAUCAAAUCGAAAUCGAUAGCUCCAUGCUGAAGUCAUGCCCUGCUUGUCUUGUGAUGCAUAGGGCUAGGACAUAUGACGUACUCAUUCAUCUGAAGAACCAAGUCAGUGGGGAGCAAAAUUGCUUGAGAUUUCAGAGUAGGAACAGCUCAAAUAGUAUGGAAAGAAGUGUACACUACCAUAACUUCUCAAAAUAGGAGGGGG